UAACGCGUUAAGUCGACCGCCUGGGGAGUACGGCCGCAAGGUUAAAACUCAAAUGAAUUGACGGGGGCCCGCACAAGCGGUGGAGCAUGUGGUUUAAUUCGAUGCAACGCGAAGAACCUUACCUGGUCUUGACAUCCACGGAAGUUUUCAGAGAUGAGAAUGUGCCUUCGGGAACCGUGAGACAGGUGCUGCAUGGCUGUCGUCAGCUCGUGUUGUGAAAUGUUGGGUUAAGUCCCGCAACGAGCGCAACCCUUAUCCUUUGUUGCCAGCGGUCCGGCCGGGAACUCAAAGGAGACUGCCAGUGAUAAACUGGAGGAAGGUGGGGAUGACGUCAAGUCAUCAUGGCCCUUACGACCAGGGCUACACACGUGCUACAAUGGCGCAUACAAAGAGAAGCGACCUCGCGAGAGCAAGCGGACCUCAUAAAGUGCGUCGUAGUCCGGAUUGGAGUCUGCAACUCGACUCCAUGAAGUCGGAAUCGCUAGUAAUCGUGGAUCAGAAUGCCACGGUGAAUACGUUCCCGGGCCUUGUACACACCGCCCGUCACACCAUGGGAGUGGGUUGCAAAAGAAGUAGGUAGCUUAACCUUCGGGAGGGCGCUUACCACUUUGUGAUUCAUGACUGGGGUGAAGUCGUAACAAGGUAACCGUAGGGGAACCUGCGGUUGGAUCAC
rnacentral:rRNA from 1 species